rnacentral:rRNA from 1 species
GUUAAGUUGAUGAGACGGAGCCGCAGCGAAAGCGAGUCUGAAUAGGGCGAAUGAGUAUGAGGUCGUAGACCCGAAACCAGGUGAUCUACCCAUGUCCAGGGUGAAGUUCAGGUAACACUGAAUGGAGGCCCGAACCCACGCACGUUGAAAAGUGCGGGGAUGAGGUGUGGGUAGCGGAGAAAUUCCAAUCGAACCUGGAGAUAGCUGGUUCUCUCCGAAAUAGCUUUAGGGCUAGCCUCAAGAUGAGAGUAUUGGAGGUAGAGCACUGAUUGGACUAGGGGCCCCCAACGGGUUACCGAAUUCAGUCAAACUCCGAAUGCCAAAUACUUAUUCUUGGGAGUCAGACUGCGAGUGAUAAGAUCCGUAGUCGAAAGGGAAACAGCCCAGACCACCAGCUAAGGUCCCAAAGUAUACGUUAAGUGGAAAAGGAUGUGGAGUUGCUUAGACAACCAGGAUGUUGGCUUAGAAGCAGCCACCAUUUAAAGAGUGCGUAAUAGCUCACUGGUCGAGUGACUCCGCGCCGAAAAUGUACCGGGGCUAAACGUAUCACCGAAGCUGUGGAUUGACACCGUAUGGUGUCGAUGGUAGGAGAGCGUUCUAAGGGCGUUGAAGUCAGACCGGAAGGACUGGUGGAGCGCUUAGAAGUGAGAAUGCCGGUAUGAGUAGCGAAAGAAGGGUGAGAAUCCCUUCCACCGAAUGCCUAAGGUUUCCUGAGGAAGGCUCGUCCGCUCAGGGUUAGUCGGGACCUAAGCCGAGGCCGAAAGGCGUAGGCGAUGGACAACAGGUUGAUAUUCCUGUACCACCUAUACAUCGUUUGAACGAUGGGGGGACGCAGAAGGAUAGGGUAAGCGCGCUGUUGGAUAUGCGCGUCCAAGCAGUUAGGCCGGAAACGAGGCAAAUCCCGUUUCCAUUAAGGCGGAGCUGUGAUGGCGAGGGAAAUAUAGUACCGAAGUUCCUGAUUCCACGCUGCCAAGAAAAGCCUCUAGUGAGAUGUAAGGUGCCCGUACCGCAAACCGACACAGGUAGGCGAGGAGAGAAUCCUAAGGUGUGCGAGAGAACUCUCGUUAAGGAACUCGGCAAAAUGACCCCGUAACUUCGGGAGAAGGGGUGCUUUUUAGGGUGAAUAGCCCAGAAAAGCCGCAGUGAAUAGGCCCAGGCGACUGUUUAGCAAAAACACAGGUCUCUGCGAAGCCGCAAGGCGAAGUAUAGGGGCUGACACCUGCCCGGUGCUGGAAGGUUAAGGGGAGAGGUUAGCGCAAGCGAAGCUUUGAACCGAAGCCCCAGUAAACGGCGGCCGUAACUAUAACGGUCCUAAGGUAGCGAAAUUCCUUGUCGGGUAAGUUCCGACCCGCACGAAAGGUGUAACGAUCUGGGCACUGUCUCAACGAGAGACUCGGUGAAAUUAUAGUACCUGUGAAGAUGCAGGUUACCCGCGACAGGACGGAAAGACCCCGUGGAGCUUUACUGCAGCCUGAUAUUGAAUUUUGGUACAGCUUGUACAGGAUAGGUAGGAGCCUGAGAAGCCGGAGCGCCAGCUUCGGUGGAGGCGUUGGUGGGAUACUACCCUGGCUGUAUUGAAAUUCUAACCCGCGCCCCUUAUCGGGGUGGGAGACAGUGUCAGGUGGGCAGUUUGACUGGGGCGGUCGCCUCCUAAAGAGUAACGGAGGCGCCCAAAGGUUCCCUCAGAAUGGUUGGAAAUCAUUCGUAGAGUGUAAAGGCACAAGGGAGCUUGACUGCGAGACCUACAAGUCGAGCAGGGACGAAAGUCGGGCUUAGUGAUCCGGUGGUUCCGCAUGGAAGGGCCAUCGCUCAACGGAUAAAAGCUACCCCGGGGAUAACAGGCUUAUCUCCCCCAAGAGUCCACAUCGACGGGGAGGUUUGGCACCUCGAUGUCGGCUCAUCGCAUCCUGGGGCUGUAGUCGGUCCCAAGGGUUGGGCUGUUCGCCCAUUAAAGCGGUACGCGAGCUGGGUUCAGAACGUCGUGAGACAGUUCGGUCCCUAUCCGUCGCGGGCGCAGGAAAUUUGAGAGGAGCUGUCCUUAGUACGAGAGGACCGGGAUGGACGCACCGCUGGUGUACCAGUUGUCUUGCCAAAGGCAUAGCUGGGUAGCUACGUGCGGACGGGAUAAGUGCUGAAAGCAUCUAAGCAUGAAGCCCCCCUCAAGAUGAGAUUUCCCAUGGCGCAAGCUAGUAAGAUCCCUGAAAGAUGAUCAGGUUGAUAGGUCAGAGGUGGAAGCAUGGUGACAUGUGGAGCUGACUGAUACUAAUAGAUCGAGGACUUAACC